rnacentral:rRNA from 1 species
UUGCACUGUGGAUCAGUGGGGACGGGUGAGUAACACGUGAGCAACCUGCCCUUGACUCUGGGAUAAGCGCUGGAAACGGCGUCUAAUACUGGAUAUGAGACGUGGCCGCAUGGUCAGCGUUUGGAAAGAUUUUUCGGUUCAGGAUGGGCUCGCGGCCUAUCAGCUUGUUGGUGAGGUAAUGGCUCACCAAGGCGUCGACGGGUAGCCGGCCUGAGAGGGUGACCGGCCACACUGGGACUGAGACACGGCCCAGACUCCUACGGGAGGCAGCAGUGGGGAAUAUUGCACAAUGGGCGAAAGCCUGAUGCAGCAACGCCGCGUGAGGGAUGACGGCCUUCGGGUUGUAAACCUCUUUUAGCAAGGAAGAAGCGAAAGUGACGGCACUUGCAGAAAAAGCGCCGGCUAACUACGUGCCAGCAGCCGCGGUAAUACGUAGGGCGCAAGCGUUAUCCGGAAUUAUUGGGCGUAAAGAGCUCGUAGGCGGUUUGUCGCGUCUGCUGUGAAAACUGGAGGCUCAACCUCCAGCCUGCAGUGGGUACGGGCAGACUAGAGUGCGGUAGGGGAGAUUGGAAUUCCUGGUGUAGCGGUGGAAUGCGCAGAUAUCACGAGGAACACC